GGGAGAAUUCCCGAGCGGCCAAAGGGAGCAGACUGUAAAUCUGUUGCUUUAUGCUUCGGUGGUUCGAAUCCACCUUCUCCCACCA
rnacentral:tRNA from 1 species